AUUCCAGAAGAAAAUGGCAAAGAAAUCAAAAGGUGGAAAGAAGUAAUUAAUUGGUUUGUUCUUUGUUUUUUUGUGUCAUUUUCGAUUUAAUUACUUUAAGUGAAUUAUACUGA
rnacentral:ribozyme from 1 species